CCAGCCACGGUAUAGCUUGGCCAGGUUUCAACUGACGUAAAAUUGUAUCAGUACCUUCGUAAGAUUACCUUGACGCUGGGAGGAGCCAGCCCACUCCUCAAUGCCUUCGCUAAUUAGGUGCUCACCUGCGAGCGGUUUCUACUUUGAACGUGGAGGGCGCGGUGAGCGGUGGGGAUCGACGACGUGAUGCUCGGCGGAGAUUUUUGUCGCCCCUGUCCCCCUCUCCCCCGUACACUUGGCGAUUAGGAGGCGACAGUGGCGGCAGCCGCGGUGGAGGGGCUGAUGGGACGGCGAUUUGGGCUGCGGCGGCGCCGACCACUGCAAAUCCAGCCCUCCUCUGUCGGAGAAGGCGCCAGCGACAAGAAGAUGGUGGUGACUGCCCUCCUCCUUGUUGACGGUCUCUAUGUGGAAGGGUUCAGAACUUUCUCUAGGUGCAGACCUGAAUACUAGUGGUACACACUUGCAACUAGCAAAAUUUGCAAGAUGCAGGGUCAGGUUUUCUUGUUUCAAUGGAUGGCAUAUGUACAAGUGGUUGACGGCUAAUGUAUGAGGGAUAGAGAGUAAUGUCUCUGUAUUUAUGGUUGGUAUGAGUAAUGUUAAAUUGAAAUUUCAGACCUUCUUUUACAAAUAGCCAGUAGCAAAGUUCAGGUUUUGGUGAGAAGAAAAGUGAACCUAAAGGCUACAGUAAAAUUAACAGUAUACUACGUUGCUUCCAGGCCAUGGAUAAGAAUGUUUUAGUCGCUAUAGUCCUGGAGAGAUGGCUGAACAAGUAACUUGAUGGGAGAUCUCUGGUCAUCUGCAAAUUAAGCUAAUUGAAGAUCAAGUUCGGCAGUACACACUUUUCGAGUUCGGUGGUACUCAGUUUUCAACUACAGCAGCACUCAGUUUUAUAAUAGUGAUUUCUCGAAAAUAAUAGUGAUUUCUAAAAUGUUUCAUGCCGCUGGUUACUUAGUGCUAAGUGGCAUUCAAUUGUCUGGACGAAUUUUAUUUGUAAUCGUAAGGAUGGAUUUAUUAGAUAACUUUGUUAUUUGUAAUCGUAAACAUGAUGAACUAGACAAUACCCCGCACGUUGUUGCGGGAGAUUUGGUUAUUAAAAUAUAUUUGAGAAGAUA